AUAUACUGCAUUGACACACUCAUAGGCAUUCUAAGGUGCACCUCAGUGGUAUCAACUGAAGUCACAGACUCUCAACAACAACCUUUUUUGGUUGUUAUCCAUCUGAAAGAAAUGUGCUUAAAAUUAGUUUUGGAAAUUUUUCACUUUUUCUACAUGGUGUACAUAACUCCAUGUGGGAAAAGACGUUCAAGGAGAAAUUGUAGAAGCUUCAGUUGAUUGGAGUUCAUGGAUUUAUUCAAGAGACUCUGCUGUGGGAAGAAUCUGGUGUUCAGGAUAAUCUGAUGAAAUGUAUCCACAACUUGUCAUGAUAAUUGGAGUCAAAGAGAAGAAAAAGGUUCACGUAACUUUAACGCGCAAUCGUGUGGGUGGAGCUACUGUUGGUGGUGACGUAACUUGAAUCCGUAUCAUGGUAAGAUGGGUCUGAUUCUGUGCAAGAAUAAACAAAGGAAGCCCUCCGAAGAGGACAGAGGAAGCCCUGCUUCACCUGGACAAGAGCAGCUUCCUGUGCCGUGUGAGGAUGAUUCGCUGCCUGCAGAAGCAAUGGUCAUUUAUGAAGAUAAGGACUUCCCAAUGAAUUCCCUAAAUCAGCCACCACAUGGAGAAAACUCUAAGGAUGACGGUAGAAAAUGACAUGUUCUACAAGCAUUGAUGUAUUUAUUUAGAAAUACAGCAAUAGAAGAAUAAAUGUCCUUACUAAUAUGAAGCUGCUGUUUAUCAUGUGAUUAUUUGUCACAUAUAUAUUUCUGCACAGUGAAAUCCUUUCUUCGCAUAUUCCGACAUCUGAGAGGUGGAUGAGUGGAAAAAGUUUUGUCAGGUCAGUUCGCUGGGUGUGAGAAUGGAAAACACCAUUAAAGUCCAUCUCAGUACAUUUACUGCAAUGGUUUUGGGAGGUGAGAGGAAACCAGAGAACCUGCAGCAAUCCCAUAUGGACACCUGCAUGCAGAAAACUCUGUACACAGCAAUCCAAGCUCAGGAUUGAAUCAGGAUCCCUGGAGCUGGGAGGCUUUGAGGCUGGGAGGCAACGCUGCUUUGCCACACCCUGCCUCCUGUUAACAAACAUCUGCACCAUAUUAUCAAUUAAAUACAUUUAUGCAACACCUCACAAUCAGCCAAUUACUUGGCAGUAGCACAAUGUAUACAGUCAUUUCAGUUUGGCCGGAAAAAGCCUUGGUGAGAGAGAGAGACAGACAGACAGACAGAGAGACAGACAGACAGAGAUGGGGGGGGGUGAGAGAGAGAGAGGAAGAGAGACUUUUUUUGCGUUUUACAAUACUUUAUUUGCACAGAAAUCAAGAUGACUCAAUAAAUACAUUAAAAUUGUUUCAAAAAAUUAGGAUAAACCUAGGUGUUUAUUAAUUUAACUCUGGUGCAAAGCUAGGUUUUCCAUCUGCAACAGAGCACAAAGAAUUCUCAGAACACCACACGCAUUUAAACACAUCCAAAUCAUUCAUACUUUUGUAAAAGUUAAAAAUUCUUUAUUUUAUCUCUCCACUUAAAAAUCUUGAUUUUUAAGCUCUCCACUCUGGCUUAACAUCAUCAUUAAAACCAAGUACACUUCUCCAUGGGGUAUCUACCCACCCACUCAGUUUUUUCUUAUUUAAAACCUUAACACAGGCUCUGUACAGCAGCUUCCUCGACACUGUCUGUUUCAGUCGUUCAAACGCAGAGUUUGCAGUCUCAGUCCACGUCACUUUGCUGUGUGCUUGCAGGCCUUGUCCGUGAGCAAUAGCGCUCAGCGGUGCCUCUAACACAGCAUAAUCGGGUACGAACAUCCUACAGUAUGAACAAGAAUGACAUUAACUGUUUUUAGUAACCGGUUUGGGAAUUUUCUGUAUUGCUUCCACUCUCACCGACUCAAGUCUUUUUUGACCUUCUGCAGAAAUUAAAUGUCCUAGGAACUUCACUACUUGUUGUACAAAUUGCAGUUUUGACAGGCUUGCUUUAUGUCCUUCUUUAGCGAGGUAACAGAGCAAUUAAAUGGUGUCUUUUUCACACUGCUCUUUAGUCGGUGCGGCCAAAAGAA